GCAAUCCCACAAGCUGACUCCAAACACAUGCACAAUACGCUUUCCUGGCCCUUUUGUCUCCUGGUAUUCCACUUAUGAAGACACCAGAGACAAGGUAAAAGCAAACACAAUGCAAGCAUGUGAUUAAAUUUGCUUGUGCUGCGCAGAUCAAAUACAGGGCUUUUUCCUCAUGCUAGAGCUCUUCAGCAGAGCUCUGCGCAUGGUCUACCCUGGAAGAGCAUUGAACCAACACUCUUUGAGAGUGCAUGCUUGUCAUUGGUGAUGACAAAAUACACCCUCUCCGGCCCCUCCCCCUUCACAGUGGGCCGCUGUGAUUAAAAAAUGCCGGGUUGAAAUUUUUUCCUGUCCAG